rnacentral:rRNA from 1 species
AUGGUGGCAACUGAGGACGAGAAAUUGGCACAAACACCCGCCACGGAAGGGCUUCAAACUAUAGAGGACGAGCUAACAAUGCCCGUGCAUAUAAAGAAACAUAUACGACGGCAUAACAAGCCUAAGAAGGCACAAGACUAUGUUGUUUCUCCACAAGAUUAUGCCUGCACUGGCGAUGAUUGGUCCGUUAUAGAAAAAAUCAGAUCUGAACCAAGUAAAGAAAGAAAUGUAGUGAGCAUCGGCGACGCAUUUCUGAAAAAAAAAAGACAUUUACUAUCUCUUCUAUCUCCCAAAGAAUGGGUUGGCGACGAAGUCAUAAAUACGUACAUAAAUUGCAUGAUUUUUACGGAGCAUCUACAAGUAAGGUCAGGUGGAAGUGUGUUCUUAGAGAAUGCAUGCAUCUCUAAGAUGAUGAAGAUCGGUAGCUAUCUGCCCUCAGAUGACAUGGAUGCUGCACCAGCAUGGGUAUUAAACAGAGCCAAAGCAUAUUUGGAAAAUGAUAUGGUUAGUCUUACUUUUCUACAUAUUUCUAUGAAUUACAGCAAGAACGACUGA